UUUUGGACAAUGGGGGCAACCCUGAUCCAGCAAUGCCGCGUGAGUGAAGAAGGCCUUCGGGUUGUAAAGCUCUUUUGUCAGGGAAGAAACACCGGCUUUAACCCAGUCCGGGAAUGACGGUACCUGAAGAAUAAGCACCGGCUAACUACGUGCCAGCAGCCGCGGUAAUACGUAGGGUGCGAGCGUUAAUCGGAAUUACUGGGCGUAAAGCGUGCGCAGGCGGUUAUACAAGACAGGCGUGAAAUCCCCGGGCUUAACCUGGGAAUGGCGCCUGUGACUGUAUAGCUAGAGUGUGUCAGAGGGGGGUAGAAUUCCACGUGUAGCAGUGAAAUGCGUAGAUAUGUGGAGGAAUACCAAUGGCGAAGGCAGCCCCCUGGGAUAACACUGACGCUCAUGCACGAA
rnacentral:rRNA from 1 species